CUACACUUGACAGACUAAACAUGACGCUUGCCAAGAGCCAGAGGAAGAAUAGACUCACACGACUGAAAACACAGACUACAUAUUCCUCGUCUUCACCAUGCCAAUAUGAUGAGACAAUUUCUUAUGGCCGAAGAAGACUGGAGGCCAUCUCCAAGAUUGCCACAUUUGUUACCACUGUGCUACUCUGUCCACUGUGGCAAAAUAACAAGAAAUGAAGGCCGGCUUACUUGAGACAAUUAUUUCAUUAUUCCACAGUCAGUCUCUGCUGCCUUGGGGCCUGAAAUGAGGUGGGACGUUCUAGUGGCCUUCUAAAAGUGAAGGACAUGCCUCCGUGUUCCCUUAAAGGCACACUCCAAGGCACCUCCAAAUCUCUCCACAGACCGUCCCUGCGAAAAUUCCCAGAAACACAAUAACGACACAGUUUCCCAUCCUUCGGUCUGCAGUAAUUAUUGAACACUUUAAUCCAAACCCGAUGAGAAAAAGCACAUGGCUACAAAGGCAGACAGACAUACCUAUGGCAACUGGCACCUGGGCAAGCAAGAUCAAGGAUCUGGCAUUUUUCAGGUCAGAUUUUACCAACACUUUGUCAUUUUGAUAAACCAAAUCAAUAUAAAUGUGACAGUAGAAGGAAUUGUGGAGGGCAAAGGUUUCUGUCCAUUUUAAAAUCUGGAGUUAGCAAAGAAAGGUUAUCAAUGCUAUAAACAUUUUUUAUACAGUAUUAUAGUACAUUCUGACUAUAUUCAAACUCAUUGAGAUGUACAGACUUGGAGUCUGAACAGGUAUGUGCUUGUUUGAGAGGUUAAUUUAACUGCAAAUUAUUUGCAAAAAAAUUUGAUUUUUACUUCAAAAGUAUUUUCCUCACUUUGUCUUAAGUGAAAGAAAACUAUUUGAGGGUUAAAAGGCAGUAAUAUACAUUUUAAGACUUUCAGACCCAAAUGAAUAUCCUUUAAAAUAUUACAUUAUAAACACUCAAGUCAGCAUGCAGAAUUCAGUUAUUUGGAGAAUGGUUGGUGGCUGUCUUCCAUCGCCUCCUUCUCCGGGGGCUAUGGACAACAGGCCUAUUUCUCAUCAUAUCCACUCUACAUGCUCCAAAGUAGCCGGCCCUCAGUCCACAGAGCCGUACACUGAAGCUAGGAAAGUGGUCUUGCUUCAAAGGCUGAUGCUCUAAACAAUCUUCAUUAUCAGAAGAAGCAAUGGAGAUGAGAAUGCUGCCAAGAGUGUCUCAGUGUAAGGCAGCGAUAUACAGUCCAAAGAGAGUAAGUAAAAUCCAAAUCGUAAAGCUAGGCAAGGCAUAGGCGGGUACAACCGAUGAGGCUUAUUCUAACAUCUGUUAUAUUUAAAUAGUUCUCAAAGAUGUCUAACUCCUAAAUUUUAAUUACAGUAUGGAUGCUCCAACAAUAACACCCUCAACUGUAUUUGUCUAAACAGACAAGAGCCAAACUAUCUCAUGAAUAAAGCUAGGUGCCAACCAAUAUGGUUUAAAGUACUUUGCUAAACUUUAUAUCCAGUAACUACUUGAUUUGUUCAUUAAAAACAUUUACACUAACAUAUAAAAUAACAUUUUCAUAUACCAGCCUAAUCAGUGUUUAAAUAUUGCUUGACCCCAAUCCCAGGGAACAACUCUUGUGGCCUAUCCAGAGAUUUACUAGUGUUGAAGACAGGGAACAGUCAAGAAAAUGAUACAUAAAACUUUGUUGUUUUCUCCUAAGUGGUCUAGUGAUAAAAUACCCACAUUGAGUGUCAUCAGGCAUUAUAAAAAUAGAUCUUUUUUAAAAAGAUUUUUAUUUAUUUUAUGUAUGUGAAUACACUGUAGAGUGAGUACACUGUAGCUGUCUUCAGACCCAACAGAAGAAGGUUUCGGAUAUCAUUACAGAUGGUUGUGAGCCACCAUGUGAUUGCUGGGAAUUGAACUCAGGACCUCUGGAAGAGCAGUUAGAGCUCAUAACCACUGAGCUAUCUCUAAUAGAUCUUGAAGCAUAGUGGCUAUGAAUCCCAGGAGACUAAGGCAAGGAGAUCUAUGAGUUCAAGGUCCUCUGAGACAAAGCAAGUCCCAGAUCAGGCGUGGUGGUACACACCUUUAAUCUGGGACACCCCUUUUGCUGGAGACCUACAUAAAGACAUUGGAAGAAGGAAGAUUCUCUCUUCUUUACCUGUUUGCCUUGUGGGACCGAGCAAAUUCUAGAUCCUUUGACUUCCAUUCACAGCUGCAGGUGACCAUUGUUGGGGAACUGGACUAGAGACUGUAAGUCAUCAACAAAUUCCCUUAAUAUAUAAAGACUAUCCAAAAGAUCUGUGACUCUAGAGAACCCUGACUAAUGCAGAUGUCACCUAUAUAAAAUAAGUUCCUUCAACAAUUUUCAGUCAACCAAUUGUACAAGGAGGAUGUAGAGAUGAAGCAUCGAGAAGAUGGUAGAAGUCUUGAAGACCAUCACAGCACACAUGCUCUUAGCAUAUCAAAGAAAAUCCUGAAGACCAUAACAGCAUUAGAGUGUCAAAAAACCCUUAAAGACCAUCACAGACUGUUUCCGCUCCCAGGGACUUUCACAGAAAUGAUUAAGUAACAACCCCAAAGUAAAGGCACAGGGCAUAUGGGGCUGCGGAGAGCUGGGAAGAAGGGUGGAGAGAUGGGUGAUGUCACAUAGACGCUCUGACUUUCAGCUGGGGCAAAAGAGCAAGCCCAAGAGAUGGAUGCUGGAGAAUGGAUCCGCAACCUUGGGAAUGGACUGGAUCAAAGGACAGUCCACUGAGGAGUUGUUGAGAAGUCAUGAGGUGAAAGUGAGAAUGGAUUGGAUAAUCUUGAAGGUGUCCCUACACAGCUUAAAUGUGCUUCCUCUUCACAGUCUUCCUUUCAAAUGUCUUUUCCACUGAACUGUGAUACAGGCUUCUUCUGGAAGCAUCCCAUAAAAGCCAUAGGCAAAGUUAGGAACUAUUUUCCUGGGCUCCAAGGAGGUAUCUUCAGGAGACUUCAUCACACUAUAUAUUUAGUGAAAAUAAGGCUCAAGAGUCUAAGAAAGUUCUGGAAGAAAUUCAAAUUUGGUCCCAUGCUUACUGUCUUGUUUUCCUGCUCCUGGACUUUGGCAUAGGACAGAUACUUCAAACAUCAUGAAAACACACAGAAAAGAGGAACCAUUCCUCGACUAUCCAUCAGUUCCGUGCUCAGAGUUCUGGCUGCUUCCUGUGCUCUUUGUCUUAGCAGCUACCAGCAAGCUUCCCAGCUUCACUCCAGGGGGACCUGGAAGAGGAGGGUAAAGGAGGAUCCAUGCUAGGUGCCCCCUGGAGCUAACUGGAAAAGUCACUUUGAGAAAGCCAUGGAGAAUGACAAUGGUCUUCAGCACUUAACAGGGCACUGAGGCUGCAGACAUGAACAGCAGGCUUUCCUCAGCACACAGGAGCUGCCACCUGAGCUGAGGCGGAAGAUAGAGCGGAUGGGAGAGUGUAAUACCAACAAGGAAAGCCUGUCACCCAGCUGUGUCCCCUGGGGCCACCUGUGGGUAGCAGGUUUGGCUGUAAUGUCAGAAUGACAAGUCACUAAACUAUCAUAAGGGCAUUGUCAGUCCUAGGGCCGUUUACUGAGGAGAUGUGCUCCGAUAACUAAAAGAUGAAAUACCUCUAUUUAGGGUGAACUCUCCUAGUGUGGUCAAAGCAACCCAAGGAGGAGGAGGAAUAAGUUGGAAACAUUCUUGCUUGCAGGAUCUGGGAAGACACUCAGUGUUCAAACCACAGAGGAUUUAUUGGGAACUAUAUUUGUGUUUUAUAAUUUUCCAGAGGUAACUCCUAUUUUCUUCUUUUCCCAGGGACACAGAAUGGGGUAAAUUCACUGUGAAAAAAGGCAAGUCCUUAAUUUCCCUUAGUGAUGAGAGAUAAUGAAAAUACAGGUCACUAAACAUGGACUGUAGAGAAAAUAAAACUGAAAUUCCAGUGUGCACGCAUGUGCAGAAGGAAGAGACACCAUGGUUUGCCUUCGCUGACAGAUGAAGCAACUGUAUCUGGACAAUGGAAACCACCUGCUAGCCCUUGCUUGUCAGUCAUCGAGAAGUCAGAAGUACCAGGCCACACAGAAAAGCAAUUCAUCCUAGGCUCAAAAAAAGAAAAAGGCAUCUGGUACACAGUUUUCAGUGUCAUUGUCGUCAUCCUAGUGUUAUUGGCCAUGGAAAACUUUUUCUUCUGCACGUAUACCUCUUUGGAAACAAACUCCUUAAUUAUUUUUCUACUUAUUUAAAACAAAAUUAAAUACAAACUAACUACUGUGUCUAAGUUA